UAGGGAAUCUUCCGCAAUGGGCGAAAGCCUGACGGAGCAACGCCGCGUGAGUGAUGAAGGUCUUCGGAUCGUAAAACUCUGUUAUUAGGGAAGAACAAAUGUGUAAGUAACUAUGCACGUCUUGACGGUACCUAAUCAGAAAGCCACGGCUAACUACGUGCCAGCAGCCGCGGCAAUACGUAGGUGGCAAGCGUUAUCCGGAAUUAUUGGGCGUAAAGCGCGCGUAGGCGGUUUUUUAAGUCUGAUGUGAAAGCCCACGGCUCAACCGUGGAGGGUCAUUGGAAACUGGAAAACUUGAGUGCAGAAGAGGAAAGUGGAAUUCCAUGUGUAGCGGUGAAAUGCGCAGAGAUAUGGAGGAACACCAGUGGCGAAGGCGACUUUCUGGUCUGUAACUGACGCUGAUGUGCGAAAGCGUGGGGAUCAAACAGG
rnacentral:rRNA from 1 species